CUUGAAUAUUUCCGUCAGUCUUUGUAUGAGGGUAACUACCAUUUCCCAGUUCGCCUGUGAGUGAUUGCUACACAUCUGCUUUACUUAUAGCAGAAGGUCCUUAUUUUGAAGGCCAUUAACUGGCUAAUGAGGAUGUUCUGUGAAUUCUGCGCAUCAGGCACUGGGUAGAGGGCCAGGGACACAGGUGAGUGAAGCUGAGUUCUGCCUACAUGGAAUCACCAUCUGGUGACAUAGACAUGGGGGAAGCAAUGUCAGUGCCAUGUACUAAGUGCACAUACAGAAACAAAUGGGUAUUUACAGGCACACGUCGGGAGGCACCACCCACAUUUGGGGGUCUGGGUUGUGGGAGGUGGAGAGGGUGACUGGGAAGGUGGGAGCAGGGAUGCCUAGGCUGAAAGUUCCAGAGUGAGCAGGAGUUGUGUGUGAAUGGAAGAAAAUAAGGGUCCCUUAACCUUUUUCUCCAGUUGAGUAUAUCCAUUUACAUUACAGUUUUCUCCAAGCACUUGCCGGAUGGCCUGACCCAGAAGAGACGUCUAAUGAAACCAAGGAAAAAAGACUAAAGGAGUCAGGAGGCUCACUGAGUUCCUUACAGAUUCAAUCUAGGAAUUUGUAGAAGCUCUAAAGCUUUCCUUCGUAGGUGUCAGUAUUAGUUGCUGAUUAAUGCUCCCACUUGAUGGAGAAGUUGUGAUUAAAAAGCAAUAAUUUUAUCAAACUCUUAACUGUAAGCUGUAUUCAUUAACUCCAUAAUUAUUACAUUUUGCAUAAUACAUUUGAUAUACAAUAAUGAGCUACAUGAAUCAGGAUUUAACUGGCAGGAUUUAACUGGAACGGAAAUAUAGGGGUUAUGAGGUCAUUUUUCUCUUAGAAAAAGCAUUUUUAAUUUCAGUUUUUCCCACCCUGAACACAUGUGUGAGAAGAAACUCAAUAUAUGUCAUUCUGAACAGCCUCAGGGUGCAGCUACUUCACAUUGGACAAGCCAUUAAAAUAGUCAUUUUCAAGCCGAACUAUUAUUUUAAAUGAUUAAAAC
rnacentral:lncRNA from 1 species